AUGUUUUUCCAUUCCAUGGAGUGUGAAAUCACACAAGAGGAAACAUGGAGUUACAGAAAUAUGAGCCUGAGUAUCAGAAAACCCACCCUCAGCCCCUGUGUGUCUGUGCACGGAUGGUCCCACUUAUCUUAAAGUCCCAGAAGCAGCUAUACCCCGGGAAGAGCUUACCUCAAACCUCAAAGUGCCAAACCUCCUAAGAAAAAAACACCAACAUGAAUAAGGUUGACUGCUGUCCUCACUCAAGUUCAUUCCAAAUCAUCAAGAUCUAGCCUAGGAAACGUUCUCUUCAUUUUCAAAGGCCUGAGUCCCCGAUAGUGAAUGUGCCCGUGAAACAAAUUAGGGCAAUGUGAGAAGAGUGUAAACCAGCAUGGAGAAAGAUGAGGGAGUGCUGGAAGGGAAUAGUGAGGCCCUCUUCACAAUCUCAAAACCAGAGGACAUCUACACAGAGAGGACUGUGUGCCCAGCCUCUGACAGGAGCUGGGACCCUGAGAAUAACACAGAACCACACAGCCCAUUGUAGCUCACUAGCCAGUCUUCCUCCAGUGUUCCACUGGCCAAUCUCAAUGGGACUCCAAGUGCAAGAGGCUCUACUGCUGUGGUCUAUUCCAGAGCAUCCUUGGAACACCUGGAGUGAGAAGAAACCAGUAACUAGUGGACUUGUGAAGAAUCUUGGCUUCUUAUGAAGAUCACAACUGUUGGCUUGCUUUCUUUCUUUGGAAAAGACACUAUUCUAGGAGCACACUUGCAAGAGAAACGGUGAAGGGAUCAUGGAGGUAAACCUGCAAUGUUCUUCUAAUUUGCUGAGGUCAUCUGGAGUGAGUUAGUGUGGUACAAUGAAGAAUCAAUCGGGAGUGUGGACUGGAGGUUGCCAUUGAUUUCAGUGAAUGCCAUCGCCUGGUGCAUUAGCUGAGAGUAAAUGCUUCCCUCAUCCAGUGUUGGAACAAGCCUCAAAUCUCUUCGCAAGCCUUUUCUGCACCCAUGUUAAUUAUUCAGACACUUUGCCUUUGAAUAGUGGGAAGUGGUUACUUCUCGGUCUUUGGUUUCAGCACCUUCAGAGUUUGCCCUUUCCCUUGCUCCCCUUGGAUGGAAGGAAAUCUGCAUCUGUGUCUUGUCAGAGACACACACUCAAAUGUUUUCCAUAGUUUCUGCCUAGGCAGAAGCAGCUUGUUCCCAAAGUCUGACAUAGUUUUCAGAGUGAGAGCCUGGCCUGGUCUUAUGCUUAGCCACAUCCUAUUUUUAUCUGGAGGCUUAAAGACCUGCGAGUCUUCGGAACACAGACUCUCCCAGGAUUGCUCUUCUAUCUUUCUGAUGUCAGAAGCUGAAUGUGUAGCUUGAAUGUUGACCCUGCCAGGUGGUACAGAGUGGCUAAUAAAAAAGGCAGACACCAUAAAAAGUGACAUAUUGUUUACAUUUGAAUAAUGUCACCCUCUCUUAGCACUGACAUUAUUUACUAGCCCUUUGUCUCUCCUCAUCAAUCUGUCCAUGGUUUGAGCUUAAACUCCUGGGUGAAAUAUGUUUGAGCAGAAGUAAGAAUACUAUUUUUUUCCAUGUAACAGGGAAAAAAGUGAAAAAAAAAAACUCCCUAGUCUGCUCCUAUUGCCUCUAAUGUGACUCAAAGAUGUGUUUUAAUUUUUUUAACAUAAAAUGAAGACAAAAGAAGGUUCUCAAAACAAAAGCUAUAAUUGUGUGAAAUGUAACAUUUCC
rnacentral:lncRNA from 1 species